AAAAAGUCUUGGAUCAGGCCCUAGCCACUUUUAUGACUCCAGUUUCUUAAACUGGAAUCUAUAAAGUGGGAAUAAUAAUUGCACCUGUACCUCACAGAGUUUUGUGAAGCCUGUGUGAGCCAGUGUGCCAAUUACAUGCUAGAUCUCAGGAACGUAAGUCAACCUGCUAUGACAAAAGCAACCCCAGGAAAUUUUAUUGUUUUCAAGUGAAAAAUAACCCAACAAAUCAACAGUUAUGGGGUGGAGGGGGAGAACAGUCUCCCAACUCAUCAGAAAGAAUAUUCACUGCAUCACUUAAAUCACAAUGAAUUUUGAGAGUUGUCUUCUGGAAAGCCAUGGCCCAUUGCAGACCCGGCCAGUUAAUAAAUGGUAGAAAUGAAAGUUAUUUGUUUUCACUCUAAGUCCUAUAGUGUCUGGGAUAUAUAUUUUGGACAGGCUUACCUAAAAUGAAAGGGAAAAAGAUAACAUAGAAAUUACGACCCUAUGGAAUUCCUAUCAUGGCUCAGUGGUAACAAACCUGACUAGAAUCCUUGAGGGUGCUGGUUGGAUUCCUGGCCUUGCUCAGUAGGUUAAGGAUGUGGUGUUGCCGUGAGCUUCGGUGUAGGUCACAGAGGUGGCUCAGAUCCUGCAUAGCUGUGGCUGUGGUGUAGGCCAGCAACUGCAGCUCCAGACUGACUCCUAGCCUGGGGACCUCCAUAUGCCAGGGGUGCGGACCUGAAAAGAAAAGAACAGAACUGCAACCCUAAAUCAAUACAGACAAAACAAAGACAUUGAAAAAUAAAGACGUUAUUUAGCUAGAUCAUUUGAAUCUCUAAGGUAAAAUGCAGUUUGAGAUGAAGAAGAAUAAAAUGAAUAAAUGCAUGAAUGGCUGGGGAAUGAAAAAAUGCAGUUGACUUAAGAGUAAAUUCAGGCUCAGAUCCCCGGGCAGCAAGUUCUGCACAUCAGUCAAGUUAGAAAUGCCUCCUCUGAAGGCAGGAAAGAAUCGUCACUUCCAUUCUACAGAUGGAUAUACAAGUUUUCUUUUGUGGGGAUAGUCAUUAGACGAGAGAACGAAACAGUGCUUAGACUUAGCCGAGUCACUGAAAGGCCGGAAAGUCACAGCAUAAGAGAUGGAUGGAUGCCUGAGACAGACCAAGUGGGAGAACAGAGAGAACAGAGAGUCUGCAGCUCUUGGGAUCACAGUGUUCACUGUUCGAAAGUACAUCAAAGGGAGAGACUGGAAGAUUCUGUCUGCGGGUUAGUUAAGAACCAGGAUGUCUCUUGGGGUUUUGUCUUUUUCAAAGAUUGAUAGAAAGUCUCUCACAGUGUGUCUCCAAUCACAUUGUGGGUUCACUACAAUGAGACAAAUAUUUCUUAAGUUGUGUUCCCUGCAGUGGAGGCAGUGACUUAGGCAUCUAUUAGCUGGAAAAGAAAGUGAGUUCUUACUGAUGCUAAAAGCCAUCUGGCACACUGUCUCAGCAUGCUACAUAAAUAAAAGUUAUUUCCAACAACACUGAUAGCAUCGCAAGCUUAGUUUUUGUCUAAAAACACAUAGCACUUUAAGUUAGGAUGGUUUUUUAAAGGUUAAAUUAAAAACAGGAAUUUCCUUUAUUUCUCAAUCAAUACAAACAUUUUAUAUAUUCAAGACAUCAACAAAUUGAGAGUCAAACUUAACCUACUUACUAGUUAAUUUAUUAAAAUUAAAAUUAAUUUUAAAGAAUGUGUUUUCUUUCUGGCUGCACAGCACACAGAAGUUCCCAGGCCAGGGCUCAAACCCAUGCCAUAGCAGAAACCCAAGCCACAGAAGUGGCAGCGCCAGAUCAUUCACCUGCUGUACCACCAGGGAACUCCUACAUUAAUUUUUUAAGCAGGGGUUUUUGGUUUUUUUGUUUGUUUGUUUUUUAGGGCCACACCUGUGGCAUAUGGAGGUUCCCAGGCUAGGGGUAGAAUCGGAGCUACAGCUGCUGGCCACAGCCACAGCAACGCCAGAUCCCAGCCGCAUCUGUGAUCUACACCAACAGCUCACGGUAACACCAGCUCCUUAACCCACCAAGCAAGGCCAGGUAUCGAAUCCGCAACCUCUUGGUUCCUAGUCAGAUUUGUUACUGUUGCACCACGACAGGAACUCCUCAGCAGGGUUUUCUAGUAUCAUAAUUGCACACUGCCCUCAGCAUCUUUCUAACAAAGACUUUAAAGAAAUCCUAUUUAAUGUUCGUUUGUCUUCCUUCACUAAUACAUUUUCAUUUUCAUCAGUUAUGCAUUGCGGAUAAGAGAAAGAAAAGAAGAAAGGAAAGGAGGGAGGAAAGGUUCUUAGCUUCCAGAAGUUAACAGCCUAACAGGGAGCUAGGAAAAAAGCAGGAUGGACAGCCUGAAUAAAACUCAUUUGGCUUUAAAGUGAUUACAAUUUAAUGGAUUUAAUGGUCAAAUGCAAACACCUACUCGCACUGGAAGACGCAUGAAUAAAAGGUGCUGGGGACACGAGAGGAAGGAAGACUUGAUGCAAACACAGGACAGAGGGGGACGGAAUAAUAGGGGACCAAACAAAGCAGUUUAAGGACAGCAAACGUGAGGCUACCCUGGUAUGAAGGGCACAGGCUGUUAAAGGAAAGAGCAAGAAAGGCAGGGAGAGGACUUCCCUGGUGGCUCAGUGGAUUAAGGACCCAGUGUUGUAACUGCUGUAACUUGGGCUGCAGCUGUGGCUCAGGUUUGAUCCCUGGCCCAGAAACUUCUGCUUUCCAUGGACAUAGCCAAAACAAAACAAAACAAAACCAACCAAACAAGAAACAACAACAACAAAAAAGGAGAGAGCCUCAGAAAGAACUGGCUGUUUUAUUUUAUUUUAUUCUUUUUUGGCCACGCCAUGGCAUGUAGAAGUUCCCAGGCCAGGGAUUUAACCUGUGCCACAGCAGCAACCAGAGCCACAGCAGUGACAAUGCCAGAUCAUUAUCCCACUAAGCCACAAGGGAAUUCUCAGAACUGGCUAUUUUAAAGGGUCAACAGUAGGCCGAUCUAGCUUAGUUCUUGGAAGGAGAUGAAAAAGAUGACUUUGGGAUGAACUCAUUCAACCAGCUCAAGGUUUUAGGAAACUUCCCAAAAGUAAAUUUCACAUUGAACUCAGAAACCAUGGCUCAUAAAAUAAUCUUUGUUUCAGUGCAGAAGAAAUGGGCCAAGAGAGAGUGUAUGGCUGAUGUUGGUACGUUGAAACCAAGGAUCACUAAGAAAGCCAGAAGGUUGGAAACUGCUCCAUGUGGACAGAUGGAAAUAGAAAAUCCAGAGGUGAGGAAAUGCCAUCAUGGUCAUCCAGACAAUCUAAGUAUGUUCCAAAUGAGUCAUUUCCUCAUCUAUGGACUAUUUCUAUCUCCAAGGCAUCUCACAAUGCAGUAAGGCAGUACAUUUCAUCUUGAGAUGGCAGGUUGAUGGGCAGCUUUGGAUGAUUCUCUUGAGAGGAAGAGUUAUGAAGAGGACUCAGGGAUUAGCUCAUAUCAUGGAGGCUAGAAGAACCCAACGAAAGAAUCCAUUCUAAAAUCUGAGUGGUGUCAGCCAGCAAGAAGUCAGGGCACGUGUGUUUGAGGUUAACCUCUGAUGUGCCCUAGCAGACCCACCUGCUUAUAGAUAAAGAAUGGAAAGUUGGGGCUGCGAUGGGGCAGUGAGCCAAGUCUUGGUAGGGAAGGCUGUGAUUUGGAUUGACGGGAAGAGGAUGAUGGUGUUAUGGGUGGUAGAAGCAGUUUCAGAGAGGGAGGGGUAACGGUGUGAAAGUUGGAACCAGCAGGAUUUAUACAUGAGAUGGCACAAAACAGAGUCCAGCCAGGCCAAAGAUACCUCUGGGGGGAGCGGCAGGUAGGAACCAGGAAUACGUGCUCUGAGUGUUAAUGACGUAAGUACAGUAAGAGACAAUGGCUUACCUUCAAUUCUGAAGCCCAGGAUUUUUCCUUUUUAACACACACAAAUUUAAAACAUAUAUAGCAAAGGAUUAGUCCCAUAUUUUACCCAGAUAAUAGCUCUAGAAUCUAGACAGAAUCAAAUAUUUGGUAGGUGAGGGUAAUAGGGUGGCAGAGUGUGCCAAGUAGGUGGACUCUGGAGAACCAAGAUGUCUGAAUUCAAAACCCAACGCUAGCACUUCCUACUGGCUAUGAGAGCUUCUGAAAGCUACCCAAACUCUGGGUCUUGGUUUCUCAAGUAUAAAACUGGCAUAAACCCUUUUGGCUCCCUGAGCAGCACCAUGGAGAUCAGCAAGAAUAAGCAGCUUACAAAAGGCGGCCAAAAGGGAGCCAAGAAGAAAGUGGUUGACUCACGUUCUAAGAAAGGUUGGUAUGAGGUGAAGCACCUGCUAUGUUCAACGUAAGAAAUACCAGGAAAACACUAGUCACGAGAGGUCAAAGAAUCAAAAUUGCACCUGAUGGCCUCAAGAGUCAUGUUUUUGAAGUGAUGGGAUGCAUCGCAUUCAUUGCUGAUGUGCAGAAUGAUGAAGUUGCAUUUGAAAAUUCAAGCUAAUUACUGAAGAUGCUCAAAGCAAAAACUGCCUAAUUUCCACGGCACAGUUCAUAGCCAUGACAAAAUGUGCUCCCUGGCCAAAAAUGGCAGACCAUGAUUGAAGCUCUUGUUGAUGUCAAGACUAAUGAUGGUUAUUUGCUUUGUCUAUUCUGUGAGGGCUUUCCUAAAAAAAUUCAACAAUCAAAUUCAAAAGAUGUCUUAUGCCCAAACAGAAACAGAUCCUCCAAAGCUGAAAAAAGAUGGUGGAAAUCCUGAUCCAAGAGGAGGUGCACACAAACGACUUGAAAGAGGUGGUCAUUAAAUUGAUACCAGACAGCAUCAGAAAAAGGCUUGCCAAUCUAUUUAUCCACUGCAUGAUGUCUUUAUUAGAGAAGAAAAAAUGCUAAAGAAGACCAGGUUUGAAUUGGGAAAACUCGCGGAGCAACAUGGUGAAGUUCUGGAAAAGCUACUGGGGAUGAGACAGGUGUUCAAGUCGAGCAAGCUGAUGGAUAUAAGCCACCAGUCCAAGAAUCUGUUUAAAAUUCAGACUUUUGGAGUUC
rnacentral:lncRNA from 1 species